rnacentral:lncRNA from 1 species
GCCUUAAUAUACAUGCAAAGUUACAUGACAUAUACAAGAAGAAUGAGUUUAAAAAUGUCAAGCAAUACUCUUCUUCUAUCUUUGUUCCUUUUACUUCUCUGUCUCUUUUCAGAAACUGGAGGGAGAGAGACCAGUCACCGGAGAUUAGGUCAGUGCCUCUUAUAUAUGUUUUUAUUUCUAUUCACUUGUUUUAUAUAUCACUAUAGCUCAAGUUUUCACUGAAUUCGUUUUCACCUGUAAAGAAGAUGUUCCCUUUAUAAUAGCAAACUAGAUUUUAACCCGCGGUACACCGCGGGAUGAUUUAAUUUUAAAGUUAGUAUAAAAUAUUUUGUAAAUUGUAUCUCCUUAUAACAUAUUUAUUUAUAUUAUAGUUUACAAUUGUUAUUAAGUAACGGUAUAUCACGAGUCCACGAGAUAAUUAUUAAAAAACUGAGGAUUUAACCCGUAUUAAAGCGGUAUAUAAAUAUUGAUUCAAAUUUGGCCGCCAUAUAAAUCAUUUCCGAAAUAUAACCUUUUCUGUAAUUUCUUAACCCGUCCUGUGAUUUGUAUUAAAAAAUAAGGAUUAAACCCGUAUUGAAGCGGCGGAUUAAUGAUAUUUUAAUCUUUUUAUUAUUGUUGAUUCAAAAACCCGUCCCGCCAAACCCAUCCCGCCAAAAAACUCAUUUAUUUUAUUAAUGUUCUUAUUUAUGAUAUGAUUCUGAAUCAUUGUCUAAAUAUUUUAAUCGAUGUAGAACGUUGAACACACAUUUUUGUCAAUUGGAUAAUAUAUGUCCGUUUUUUAAAAUUUCGAAUCACAGUAUAUGCAGAAAAAAAAUUGAUUUUUUUUUUUACUUUAUGUAUUAUAUGAUGAUUCAAAACAGUUAAAAACAAAUCAAACAAAGAUGAUAGGAGAAUCAUAAUUAUAAAUCUUAAUCAAAUCUUCUAAAAAUCUAAAUUAUUAAAUAUGGAAUAUCCGGUGUAUGAGUUGGGUUAAAUAUAACCUGACCCAACAAAUGUUUUGUGAAGGAAUUUUUAAAAUGGGUCGGAUAUCCGAUAUACCCGAAAGUUUUUUUAUCCACCCGUCACAAAAAGUGCUGCGAUUAUACUAGUAUAGAUGAUCAAUUAUUAUCUAUAUAUAAAAUAGAUGUACGAAAUUAAUGUAAACCAAUUAUAGAGAUAAUUGUAUUAAAGUUAUUCGACAAUUAUGCGUCAAUUUGAAAGUACCAAUUUUAUAUACUUUUAAAAUACAAUUUCUCUUCUGUAGAAUUAUAUCAGCCAAAUAGAAACUUAAGUUUAUUUAUUUUUUUGUACAAUCAAUAAUCAAUAAAAAUGAAAUUAAAAAAAUUCACAUAUAUUUAAAAAAAUUAAUGUAGAAUAUAAAUGUAUAUCAUAAUUUGUCAGUCAUAGUUGCAUGUAAAUGAUAUAUGUGGUUUGCAUUCAUUUUCAUUCAAUUAUAAAGUUGUUCUAUGAUGCUUCAAAAUGCUCUUUAAUGAAAUUAUAACCUUUUGAGUACUUUUCCAUUAUUUUCUAAUAACUAUGAGGUUAUGGGCAUAGGCGUGUAAAUCCUCUCACGUGAGAGAUGAGAGCAUUUAAUAUAGUUCUCUCUCAAGUGCCACUGGAACCAAAGAUUUUUAGGUUUUGUAAUCGAUACUGUAGGGGUUAUUAUCAAUUUGGGGCUUUGUUGGGCUCAAACUUUCAGUUUGAGAAUUUAUUACACAGCCUUUCAAUUUGAGUAUUUUUGAGCUAAAGAAAAAGACAUUUUUACCCAUGUCUUCUUCAUCUCUUUCUCCUUCUUCUCCCAACCACAAUCACAACCACCGUAAUUCUUUUCUUCUCCGACGAGACUACUCGAUUUCCGACAACAAUCAUCACUAGUCUUGCUCCGUUGAAUCCAUCACCGUCAUCAUUUUCAACGCCAUCAACACCAUCUCCUUCUUCUCCUCCGAUUUCCUCCGUCACUAACACCGAUCUCCUCCGAUAAACUCAUUCAAUUGAUUUUGUUUUGAAUAAAGGGAGCUAAACCCUAAGGGAAUCAUGUCUACUAAACCCAAGGGCUCUCAUCAUAGAGAUUGAUGGAAUCAAAACUUCCAAUUUAUUAUCAAAUGUAAACCAAAAUUGAAAAAUCCAAAACACAAAACAUCUCUGCUACCAACACCAUUUCAAUCCGAUGAGUUCAAAUUGAUUACGUUUUAAAUAAAAGAAUCUAAACCCUAAGAGGAUUGUAUCUAAUUAACCCAAGGGCUCCAAUUGAAAACAUCAACCCAAUCAAAAAUUUCAAUUCUAUCUUUAAAUCUAAACAAAUUUGGGCAUCAAAUCUUAUCAUCUCAUCAGCGUCACCACCAUCUCGUUCACCAUAGCUCAUCAUUCUCAUUGGAUCUCAACAUCUUCACCACCAUCUCCUUGGAUUUCAUCAUCACCACCAUCUCUUUUCGUCAUAUCGUCCACAGAGAGGAAAAAACAAAAAAAAUUCUUCAGCUAUUGGUAAGGGUACAUGAGGAGCGUAAGCGUGAGGGCAAGAUGGACAUUUCCUCGCAGGUAGAAAUGCUUAAAACGAAAGUCCCGGCACACGUACCGGAUUUCGUAAGUUUGGCUGAAAAAAGGCCCAAUCCGGUAAUUUAAUCGAUACUUUAUUUGUUGAGCUAUUGACACUUGGGUAAUUUAUCAUUAAUAUUAGUAGAUAAAGUUUUUAGUAUACUAUUAUAAUUAAAAAAUUAGAAAGAGUAUUGAAAUAUAUAUUAUUCUUUUUGACUAAAUCAAAGUUAUAUAUUCAAUAAAUUUAAAACAAAAUUUAUAAAUACUUUUUAAAACCAUUGAGUUAACUUGGUUAUAAUAUUUUUAAUAAUAUUUUUUGUUUUUUUUUGUAGUGCUUUAUAAGCUAGAACAUAUUUAUCAUGUUAUGGUUUAUAUCUAUGAUAUUAUUAUUUAUAUUUGUAUUAUAAUAUUCGAAAUUAGUUGUAUAUAUUUGACUUAUUUUAUCUAAUUAAUAUAAACCAUGUGCGAAUUCAAAGGUUUUCAUUUUGUAUCAAUGUUAUUCAUUUACAACUCUCCUGCUCAUUGUUUGGUAAACAUACUGUUUAAGUGUUGUUUUGCGGCCUAAAUUGUUUUUAUGUUUGUUUUUUGAUUUUCAAUCCAGAUCUUUGAUAAAUAUUUCAGUUUUAGUCCUACUAUUUUAAUGUAGUGGCAAUGAAAUUUUUUUAUAUAGUUUACUUUUAAGGAGUAAAACCGAAAAAAAAGAAAGAAACUGUUGUGUAAAAAAGCUUUAGAUGACACUUAAACUGAAAUAGAAGGAGUAAUAUUGUUAGAGAAUAUAUUGAUUUUUAUAAAACAAAAAGCGUUAAUAUUUACAAACAACAAUAUAUAAACAUUUUGUCUAUGUUUAAAUAUCCUUUAUCUUUACCUGGUAUUGUACUAACAUGUAGAACGAUUUUAGAGAAACAUGUGCCUCCUCAUGUUGAAUCAUUGAGUACCGAAUAUAACCAAAUAACCAAACAUAACUGCGAUCUAAAAUGUUAUCAAAUACAUCAGCAUAUAUCGAGUUUACACGAAUAAUGUUUUGUUGUUUUGCUUUAUUACCGUAUUAUAUAUUGCACUAAUAAAAACUUAUGUAUAUAUAGUAUUAUAUAUAAUAAAAUCAAUUAGAAAAUUUAACUAAAAUAGAUACUUACCACUUAUCAUCUAACCCUCAUGUAUAUCUUAUUGGAAGAGUUUUAACAGUCACGUAAAUUAUAUUUAUAAAAUUCUAAAAGUAGACUUUGAUUCUUUGUCGUGAAGGUUUCGACUUGAUAUAUUAUUUAUCACCACUACACAAAUUUGACAGUGGUGAUGUCGAAUUAUAUUUCAUAUUUGAUUUCACAGGACUCACCUUUUAAUUUUCGGAGAAAAAUGGUAAAAUUGUAAGAAAUGGCAACUUGGAGCGUUAUUAUACAUAAAAUCAUUUUUAUUACCACAAAUGAUUAGUUUAUCUAUUAAUACUUUGUUUAAAAUAUUAUUUUCGUUCAUAUAUAACACUAACAAUUAUUUUAAUCGUCCAAAAAAAAAUUAUGUCAUUUUUUAGUAUUGUUAUUCAUUUGAAAUAUAAAUUUCCAUAUUGUUUUUUAAAAUUUAUAUUGGUAAAAAUAACAAUAAAUAUGAAUUAAAUGAGAAUUUUAAUGUGUUUACUUUUUUUUGUAGGAGGACAUAUUAAGAGCAGAGAAAACUCUGUCACUAUAUAUAUGAUUUGAUGAUAAAUUUUACUAGAAAUUAUAAAUAACUGGCUCUUUUGCCAUUAAACAUAUAAUAUAUAUGUUUGAAUUUGGAUAGUGAUGACAAUAACACAAACCUGUAUAGUGUAUACUACAAAGCAUGAUAAUGAUAGAAUUGUUUUUUCACACAAAAAGUAAUCACAGGAUUAGUUAAUUAAAUUCUUCUCCAUAAUUUCUACGUUAUUUUCUUACUCCCAUAUUGUAUUAAUGUUGAUCUUAUUCUCAUCAUUUCUAAUCUAAAUUCUGUAUUGAUCCUUAGGAGAAGUACCUAUUAGAGAGCUAACUGUAGGUCCAUCUUGUUCAUGCGGAGGCAAAGGACAGAGUGGUGGAAGAGGAGAUCCAUGUCCACGUCCACGUCCUUGCCCACCUUCAAGAAGAUCUACUACAAACCCUUGAAAAAGUAGUAAAGAAUAGAAAAAGAAAAGAUAUUAGAAUUAUAAUUUUUUUUGUAUAUACAAUAGUUUGUUUGAUAAAAUUAAACAAUGUUUA